AUUAUCCUCAUAAGUUUGACAAUAAGAGGAACCCUUUAUAAAAUUAAAAAAUAUUAAAGGGUGGCACAAAAUCGGAGGCCCCGACUGUUUACUAAAAACACAAUUCAGAGCAAUGAUUAAUAUCAUAGUAUUCUGGAUGAAAUUUGCCCAAUGCCAUUAACAUAAAAGAGGUUAUGGGUGACUGUAACUGAUUGAAAGUCUGGUUAAUAGCGGUCUUAACUAUGAGGAUCCAAAGGUAGCAAAAUAAAUUGGCCAUUAAAUGUGGUCUGGUAUCAAUAGUGUAACGAUGGUCUCACUGUCUCUACAACUUGCUCAGUGAAAUUGAAUUACCCGUGCAGAUGCGGGUUGCCUCCAGGUGGACGGGAAGACCCUAUGCAGC
rnacentral:rRNA from 1 species